CAUCCAAGGCAUGUGAAACGUAGGAUUCAAUUUUCUGGAUGGAUGAGAUUGUGUGGUUCUCCGCCUUUCGUGUUUUUAUAGAGGCAGGCCCGCAACGCCCACGCGCAAAAGAAUUUCAGGCGAACAGCCCAAUCCCCUUUCCUCACCCCUCGCUAGGUUUCCUCCACGCCGCCGCCGGUCCCUUGUGCGCAGCUCCCUCCGCCGGUGCCUCCUCCUCCGCUGCUCCUCCCGUUGCCGUGACCCGCCCCCGCCCCCGCCCCGGUCUCCAGCAGCAGCAACAGGCCCGCCCGGCACUCUACUCCGGCGGACGCCGCCAAACUCUCUUCUCCAAAAUUUCAUCUCCCCCCUCCCGAUCUAGCCAGACGGUCACGCGCACCGGCACGCCAGGGAUGAUGGAGCCCGCCUCCCGCAAGCGCCGCGCCUCGUCGCCUCCGCCGUCGGGCCCCGUCACGCUGCCGCCGCCCGGCUUCGUGGCGGACAGGGAGGAGGCGGCGGCCCGCGUGGAGCGGCUUCUCCGGUACCAGUUCAACAACCGCUCCCUGCUCGAGGAGGCGCUCACCCACCAGUCCUUCGCCGGUGGCGCCGCGGCCUCCUACCAGAGGCUCGAGUUCGUCGGGGACGCGGCGCUCGGCCUCGCCUUCUCCACCUUCCUCUACCUCACCAACCCCACCGUCGGCCCCGGCGCGCUCUCCACGCUCCGGGCCGCCAACAUCUCCACCGAGAAGCUGGCCCGCGUCGCCGUGCGCCACGACCUCUACCCGCUGCUCCGACGCAACUGCCCUCGCCUCGAUCUCUUGGUAGGACAGUUUAUCCAGUCAGUGAAACAAGAGUUAGAGGAUGACCUUGGCACUACGCCCUAUGGUGGCACUGUAUUUAAGGCUCCCAAGGUGCUUGCUGAUAUAGUUGAGGCCAUUGCCGCUGCUGUCUAUGUGGAUUGCAACUUUGAUCUUGAGAAGCUCUGGAAGGUAACAAGGUUCCUCUUUGAGCCCAUUGUCACGGCAGAAACAAUAGACGAGCAACCCGUGUCUACGUUGCAUGAACUGUGCCAGAAACAUGGGAAAGAUAUAAAAUUCAAGACUUGGCAGAAGGGUGGAACUGCGGUUGUAAAUGUAUUUGUUGGUGGGGCACUUGUUGGGAUGGGCUCCUCAGAGCAGAUGGUAAUCGCUAAGCUCAAUGCCACAAGGGAUGCAUUAAGCAAGCUUCUUGGUGGAGGCAAUCAGCAAGUGUUGACAACCGGAGUUGGCCAUGGAUUGGGGGUUGAGGUUGGAGAGCUUAGGGAAUGCAAGCAGAAGCUUAUUGAGCAGUGCAGCAGGAAGCAUUGGCCAAAACCCAUCUUUAAGUUAGAGAAGACAGAUGGGCCGGCACAUGAUAGGACAUUUGUUUACUCGGUUCAGGUAGAAACCCAAGGUGGUAUUUGGUUAACUUUAGGUGAACCGAUGUCAAGAGUAAAGGAUGCGGAGAAUUCUGGCGCGCAGAAGAUGUUGGAACAUCUAUUGAAAUUGUGAUGUUCAUACUGGUUGUGGUCAAUUUAUUUGGGAGAUCUUGGAGGCUGGUACUCCCAUUUUCUUACUUCGGAAAUUCUUCAACUGAUAAUUUCGGAUGGCCUCUGGACAGAUUUGUUUUUGGUCCCUAUUGCAGAAUAGUGGAGGGGGAGCAGGCUCUGGAAGCUCAUGUAUUUGGUUCGGGUUAAAGUUUUGAGCAUCCGAGAGGUUGAGAAGCUGCUACGUCUAUUUGGAAAGCCUGAUUACUGAUGUAUUACUUGAAGGCAAAGAAGUCUUUAAGAAUAAAUAGUGAUUUUUCACUGAGAUGGUUAAAACACCAUGCACAAAUGAUAGAGCAUAAAUGAGCCUCAGGUAAACCUGUCCGGUCUGGCACGUCAAGGACACUUGUAUACCAGCUUCCCACCAUCGUAGUUAUCGCCAACAAUAUGAAGUGGUAAACUUUCUAUCUCAUUUAUCUGCUUUCCUUAAUAGUUUUCGCACAAAAUUUUGAAUUGUGAUAACUCAUUAUCACAAUUCGUCAUUCUUGUUUACGCGAUUGGGUAGUGGCUAUUUUCUUCCUUGUGACAGCUAAUCAAGCUCAGGGAUAUAAUUGCGAUUCAUUA